GGUGGGAAUUUGCGCUCUGCAAAUGGAUUCUAUUACUAUUAUUAUAAUUUACGUAUCACAGUGGUGUGUACUCUGACCACAACCUGUAAGAGCUGCUCCAAGCAAAACGGCAAGUUGUUCAAGACUGUCGCUCGAUGUAACGAUAAGUGUGAUGGGUUACCUCACUCCGAAUGUCACCUCACAUGCUCACAGAAAAUCAAGGGACGACAAUUUUGCUACAAAACCUUUUACGACCUCAGCAGAAAAGAAUACAACUUGUGCUAACAGUUCGAGUACUCUUUUAUAGUUGCCUUAAAACUGGCUUAAAAUAAACACAAUAAAUCGUU